AACCUUUACUGUCCACUUACCUCGGUGAGGUCCAUAAAACAACAUAUGAAAGCAAUAACUUUAUCAUCAUCAUGAAAUCAUAUGAACUGUAUAACAAAAUACUUACCACGCCUUUGCGUUUCAAUCAUUAAACAACAAAUUUUCCUCAUUUACCAGUCUACUAGUAUCCAUGGGGAUCCAUAGGGGUCUCGCUACCCGUGAACCCUUAACAUUUAUAACCUGAUUCCAGAGCCGUCCCCAUACCCCGUCCGGUAUAGGCACCAAAACCAUGAACCUCAAUACCCCGUCUGGUAUGAAGGAGAAACGGGUUGUCCCCAUACCCCGUCCGGUAUGGGCACUAAAACACAGAAGGUCUCUAUACCCCGUCCGGUAUGAGAGACCACGUUCCCGGUAGGGUUCCCUACGGACCCAGUCCGUCCACCAUCUCUCAAGAUAUCUAGU
rnacentral:lncRNA from 1 species